rnacentral:rRNA from 1 species
GACGAACGCUGGCGGCGUGCUUAACACAUGCAAGUCGAACGAUGAAAGCUGGAGCUUGCUCCGGCUGGAUUAGUGGCGAACGGGUGAGUAACACGUGAGCAAUCUGCCCUUGACUCUGGGAUAACUCUGAGAAAUCGGUGCUAAUACCGGAUAUGACUCUUGGCGGCAUCGCCGGGGGCGGAAAGUUGUUCGGUCAAGGAUGGGCUCGCGGCCUAUCAGCUUGUUGGGGAGGUAAUGGUGCACCAAGGAGACGACGGGUAGCCGGCCUGAGAGGGUGACCGGCCACACUGGGACUGAGACACGGCCCAGACUCCUACGGGAGGCAGCAGUGGGGAAUAUUGCACACUGGGCGCAAGCCUGAUGCAGCAACGCCGCGUGGGGGAUGACGGCCUUCGGGUUGUAGACCUCUUUUAGCAGGGAAGAAGCGAAAGUGACGGUACCUGCAGAAAAAGCACCGGCUAACUACGUGCCAGCCGCCGCCGUAA